rnacentral:rRNA from 1 species
CAGUUUGAUGGCACCUUACACAUGCAAGUCGAACGGCAGCACGGGAGCUUGCUCCUGGUGGCGAGUGGCGAACGGGUGAGUAAUACAUCGGAACGUACCCAGUAGUGGGGGAUAACGCACCGAAAGGUGCGCUAAUACCGCAUACGACCUAAGGGUGAAAGCGGGGGACCGUAAGGCCUCGCGCUAUUGGAGCGGCCGAUGUCUGAUUAGCUACGUGAGGUAAAGGCUCACCAAGGCUUCGAUCAGUAAGCUGGUCUGAGAGGACGAUCAGCCACACUGGGACUGAGACACGGCCCAGACUCCUACGGGAGUUGCAGUGGGGAAUUUUGCAUUGAGGGCGAAAGCCUGAUCCAGCAAUGCCGCGUGUGCGAAGAAGGCCUUCGGGUUGUAAAGCACUUUUGUCAGGGAAGAAAUCUUUUAGGCUAAUACCUUGGAAGGAUGACGGUACCUGAAGAAUAAGCACCGGCUAACUACGUGCCAGCAGCCGCGGUAAUACGUAGGGUGCAAGCGUUAAUCGGAAUUACUGGGCGUAAAGCGUGCGCAGGCGGUUUGUUAAGACAGUCGAAAAAUCCCCGGGCUUAACCUGGGAACUGCGAUUGUGACUGGCAAGCUAGAGUACGGCAGAGGGGGGUGUUAUUCCUGGUGUAGCAGUGAAAUGCGUUUACAGUGGAGGAACACCGAUGGCGAAGGCAGCCCCCUGGGCUAGUACUGACGCUCAUGCACGAAAGCGUGGUGAGUCAAACAGGAUUAGAUACCCUGGUAGUCCACGCCCACCAAUGUCAAUUAGUUGUUGGUUCUUUAUUGAAUCAGUAACGUAGCUAACGCGUGAAAUUGACCGCCUGGGGAGUACGGUCGCAAGAUUAAAACUCAAAGGAAUUGACGGGGACCCGCACAAGCGGUGGAUGAUGUGGAUUAAUUCGAUGUUCGCGAAAAACCUUACCUACCCCAGUUUGUUCGGAAUUCUGCAGAGAUGCGGAAGUGCUCGAAAGAGAACCGGAACACAGGUGCUGCAUGGCUGUCGUCAGCUCGUGUCGUGAGAUGUUGGGUUAAGUCCCGCAACGAGCGCAACCCUUAUCAUUAGUUGCUACGCAAGGGCACUCUAAUGAGACUGCCCAGUUUAGGGAGGAAGGUGGGGAUGACGUCAAGUCCUCAUGGCCCUUAUGGGUAGGGCUUCACACGUCAUACAAUGGUCGGUACAGAGGGCUGUUAACCCGCAAGGGGGAGCCAAUCCUUUAAAACCGAUCGUAGUCCGGAUUGAGGUCUGCAACAGUGACCUCAUGAAGUCGGAAUCGCUAGUAAGGGGAUCAGCGGGUCGCGGUGAAUACGUUCCCGGGUCUAGUUACACACCGCCCGUCACACCUUGGGAGCGGGUACAGUCCAGAAGUAGCUAGCCUAACCGCAAGUUGGCGGUUACCAUACGGUAGAUUCGUGACCCAGGGAUUAAGUUC